rnacentral:rRNA from 1 species
UACAGAGGUCUCAAGCGUUGUUCGGAAUUACUGGGCGUAAAGGGCGUGUAGGUUGGGGCGCAAGUCAAUCGUGAAAUCAUCGGGCCUAACCUGGUGGCUGCGGUUGAUACUGUGACUCUGGAGCAUUACAGGGGGGCUUAGAAUUUACGGUGUAGCAGUGAAAUGCGUAGAUAUCGUAAGGAAUACCAAUAGCGAAGGCAGAGCCCUGGGUAAUUGCUGACACUGAAGCGCGAAGGCUAGGGGAGCAAACGGG